UCUGACCAGCGACGCCGCGUGCAUGAAGAAGGUCUUCGGAUUGUAAACUGCUGUGGUUAGGGAAAAAUGUGCUGUUUAGUGAAAAGCUACAUGGAGGACUGUACCCUUACAAAAAACCCCCGCUAACCUCCGGCCCCCCCCCCCGGGAAAA
rnacentral:rRNA from 1 species